ACACCCCCACUGUCUUCCAGCGAGCAGAACAAAUCAAAGAGGAUUUCCAGAGACAGCAAUAACUUUACAUUCCACCCACUGCUCUCCCUGGGGCAGCAAAUCUUCACUGUGAAAUCUGCAAUUCCAGGAGAGCAGAAAGCAAUCUAUCUCCCUCCAAAAACAAGUUGCCAUUUCAGGGAACUGGACACAUUUUCACUCCUAAUGGAAUCAAGCCAGACACCUUGUUGGAGCAACAAGAGCUAGAGAUAUUUGUUCCUUUUAGAAGAAGCAAAAUUUUCCAGUGCCAACUGACAGGGAAGAAGAUGAAUAAUUACACUAUGUCCUGGUAAAGAGGACCCGAGACGGCUUCCUGAUUUUCGUACAUCAACAAGGAGACGUCUAUGACCCUGGUCUCCAGCACACCUUUCUUGGUAGAGUUGAGAAUUCAACCAGCCAGUUCUUCCUGGAGAUUCUCAGAGCCACAUUGAGAGAGCAGAGGACUUACAAGUGCUGCCCUAUCCAUGGUGACUCCCCUUGGCCUCUAGGCUUGUCUGAGCAGAGGUAGAGUGACCCUGCCGCCUGUUCCUCAACAGUCUGUGCAAAUUCAAAGAAAUAGAGUGUGAAUUCAAGGAACUCAUUUGAAGAACAGGAAAAGCAACUCUCUCCUUGAGGUUAUCGGGGAAAUGAAGGUUGAAACAUGGAUCAGAAGACUUGCUGAGGUCCCUUCCACCCUCAGCUCUUCCAUUCUGUUCCCAAAUGAGGCCCAAAACACAGCUUUCUCCAUCACUCUUUAAUCUGUUGGUUGAUUUGUCUGGUGCACCCAACCAGCACUGUGGCCCUGAAAAUAAAAUGUUAAUUACAUCAA
ensembl:lncRNA novel transcript